rnacentral:misc_RNA from 1 species
CACCCCCCGAAAAAAAAACAAAGGGAAUAGAAGCGAAGUGAGAUUUCGGACGAAGGUGGCGGUCACGCGAGAGAAGGAGCGCACGCGCAACGUACACACGUAGACGACAACGGACGGAGGUGCGGCUGUGCUGGUGCCCAUUAGCCCCCUCUCGCUCGCUCUCUCCCGCUCUCGCGAUUUUGGCGCCUCUACCGGCGUGGGUGUGUACAUAGAGGUGCCUGUGAAGGCAGCGGAGCACACCAAAAAGGGGAACGGCGAGCGAGAGAGGAAGGGGCCAUACAGAAGAGGAAGACGACGGCAACAACGGGCACCCUGCUCUCCACCUCUCUUCGUGAGCGACGAGCUACCUUUUCUAUCCCCCCUGCACCUUCCGGCUCGCGCGACUGCGUGAGCCUGCAUAGCCUCGCAGACGCCUGCACACAGGUACAAUCCUGCGCAGUCGUUGAUGCAUGGUCGAUUCUUACCCCUCAGAAACACACGCACACCUACGCAACUACAGCGGAGUGCCCGCAGAGGGAAUAAGCGCUAAGCCGAGAGAGAGAGAUGCCCUUCACGGAGGUGUAUGGCGUGGAGCAGUUCCGUGACAUCGCGAACGAUCCCACGCUCACCGUCGUGUGCUUCAGCGCGGUGUGGUGCGGCCCAUGCAAAACCAUCGAGAAGGAUCUGGACAGGCUCACCUAUGAGUUUGCGAAUGUGCGGUUUGCGAAGGUGGACGCAGACAACAACACGGAAAUCGUGUCCAAGUGCCGCGUGAUGCAGCUGCCAACGUUCAUGCUGGUGAGGGCGGGGCAGAUGCUCGGCUACGUUAUCGGAGCAGACUUAGCGCAGCUGAAGGCAAAGAUACGAGAGGAGGCGAACAAGUCGUGAGCGCGGACGUGCCCGGCGCUUUUCGAUGUGUGUGUCUGCGGGCGGGUGUGCCUUGGGCGCGAAUCACCAGCAGGAGCGGCAACCGAGUAGAAACCACUUUUGAGUCCUGUCCUCCUCUUCCUCCUGGGCGUGGCACCGCGUCUCUUCUCUACACCGCAUCGCACGCGGUCGUGUGAGGCGUUUUUCUUCUGGUAGAGAAGGUGUGUGUGUGUGUGUGUUUGUGUCCCUCCGCUUCAUCUCGUGUCUUGCUUUCUCUGGCCCAGCCUCUUCGCCGUCGCUUGUGUGCUUGUGUUUCUCUGUGAUCGUGGAUAUCGUCUUGGUGGUCGUUCUCCUCGUCGUGCUGGCGCCCUGCUCCUCCGACUCUCAUGGCACCGACGCGGUCGUCGUACCGUUGAUGUUGAUCCUCGCUUCAGCGUCGAGGACGGCCCAUUGUUUCGGUUCUGCACAGCCGUACGCACACGCGGCACGCGCACAGAUCGGUAGACCGCGCGGCCACGUAUUCCGACUAACCGUAGUGGAGACGCCAAGGGAGAGAGAGAGUGGGCUGCUUCAAGCGAGUGCGAAGAAGGGCACAUCAGCGGAGGAGAAGCAGCAGGCGGCCCACCACACAUCCACUUCUCGCGUACUGUCAGAAGACGAUCUUGCUGCACACACACACACACACACACAUACACACACACACACACACACACACACACACACACACACACACACACACGACAUGCGCACUGCGUGGCGCAUAAGGAAGGCGGCAGAAGAGAAAAGCGGCGGUGCGGGAUGUCGGUGAGAGCGGAGGAGGAUGGGAAGAAGCGGUUGGUGAGCGAAAUACAGAUGCGCAUACUGGCUGUAUGGAUGCCUAUGCAUCUCUUGUUGGCGCCGCUGCUGUUGUGUUUGUCUUCCACCCACCCUUUCUCGCAGGCUUCGUUGAUGUGCACACUGUGCGGAUUUCGACGCACCAUCUCAUCAUAACACGUGCUAUUUCAGGAUGGAGGAUGGAGAGAGACGGUCUCUUGGUCAUCGCCAUCUCUCUCCCGACCUCCCGACCGUCCUGUCACAUGCCCACUACUACACGAGCACACAUGUGCAAACCCCGAACGCACAGACGUGUAUGCGCAGCCACUUCGCUUCUCUAGUUCCACCGCACAGUCUAGCCCACACUCUCAACGCGCGCGCGCGCACCAUUCCUCCCCCUCCUGUGUCCUCCUCUUUCGCUUCCUCCACACACACGGACAG